rnacentral:rRNA from 2 species
UAUAAUGCAGUCGAGCGGAUCGAUGGGAGCUUGCUCCCUGAGAUCAGCGGCGGACGGGUGAGUAACACGUGGGUAACCUGCCUGUAAGACUGGGAUAACUCCGGGAAACCGGGGCUAAUACCGGAUAACACCUACCCCCGCAUGGGGGAAGGUUGAAAGGUGGCUUCGGCUAUCACUUACAGAUGGACCCGCGGCGCAUUAGCUAGUUGGUGAGGUAAUGGCUCACCAAGGCGACGAUGCGUAGCCGACCUGAGAGGGUGAUCGGCCACACUGGGACUGAGACACGGCCCAGACUCCUACGGGAGGCAGCAGUAGGGAAUCUUCCGCAAUGGACGAAAGUCUGACGGAGCAACGCCGCGUGAGUGAAGAAGGUUUUCGGAUCGUAAAACUCUGUUGUUAGGGAAGAACAAGUGCCGUUCGAAUAGGGCGGCGCCUUGACGGUACCUAACCAGAAAGCCACGGCUAACUACGUGCCAGCAGCCGCGGUAAUACGUAGGUGGCAAGCGUUGUCCGGAAUUAUUGGGCGUAAAGCGCGCGCAGGUGGUUUCUUAAGUCUGAUGUGAAAGCCCACGGCUCAACCGUGGAGGGUCAUUGGAAACUGGGGAACUUGAGUGCAGAAGAGGAAAGUGGAAUUCCAAGUGUAGCGGUGAAAUGCGUAGAUAUUUGGAGGAACACCAGUGGCGAAGGCGACUUUCUGGUCUGUAACUGAC